ensembl:lncRNA
UUGCCAGCAGAUGGUGCUGUUUCUCCAGAGACCUUAUCAAGUGUGAGGCCAACAGAUGACAGCAGAUGGAGCUAAGAGGUAGCAUUAAGAGAAAUGAGUAUAGUUCAUUUAUACUUAAGAGCCAAUAGCGUGAUAUUGCAAGAGUCAGAGUAAUUUGGAAAAAGUGGCAAUAAUUCUGAAUGAAAUCCGCCCGCUAAUUGUCUCCCCGCCUUGUCCCCUAAGUCACAUUAAAAAAAAAUCAGCGAUUUUUGGAUGGCCAGUUUUUCCAGCCACAUUGUUAAAAAGGACUUGUUUUCAGGUUUUUAAAAUUCCCAUCAGAGUACAAAGAUGAAUGUAACAUGUGAUGAAAUAGGUAAAUGAAAAGAAUUUGUUAUUCCUACUACCCAUGCCCAGAUGGCAAAAUGCUAUUAUCUUCAAUCUAAUAUUGAAGAAUUAUUUGCAAUUUUUGCUAACACAUUGGAGUAACUGUAUCUAACAGAAGUAGAAUUCACUCUGCUUGCAGGUUUAACCCAAGUUAUUCAUUCAAAUAUUUAUUAAGCAUCUACAGUCUGCUCUGGAUCUAUUAUAGGAGGACAGAGUCCCUCCCUGCUCUCAUGGUGGAUACAUUUUUUGGAGGAGGCAGCCAAUAAAUAAACAACAACAAAAAGUUAGAUACCAGUAAGUGCUAUGCAGAGAGAAUAGGAUAGAGUGGCUUUUCACAGGGAGGUGCUAAGAAGGUGACACCUAAUCUGAACAACAUGAAAGACUAAUUAGGUAAGAAAGUAGAAGGAAGAGCAUUCCGUGAAGAAAUCAAUGGGAAAGACUGGAGGAGGAGCAGUCAGGGGAACUACCUCUGGACCAUGGAGUGGAAGAUCACCCACAGUAGUUGUAAUCUAGAGUUCAGGGAGCCUGCCACCACUGACACUGCUACUCACAUCCAUGAAGCUGGCCAGACUUCAUGGAUGGAAUAAGGAGUCCAACCAUUACAACUUCCUCUAAACACUUGUACUCUGUGACCUUGCUUACCAACAGCCACACCAGUGGGAAGAUUGCCUCUGUCUUGCGUCUCUUUACAAACUUUGUGCUAGUGCAUUUAUUUGGCAAUGUCUAAUUCCAACCCAGAACUCUACAUAUAAGGGUGUUUGGGACGUCUUUUUAGGUUUCCAGCUUCUCUAAUUAGUGGAUAAAAUGGUGCUUGAGAGAGCCAAUCUAUUAGAUCUAAGAUAGAAAGCUAUUGGAAUAAUGAAGAUAAAGGAUGGUGGUGGCUUGGCUUAGGUGGCAAUAAUGGAAAUAUAUAGAAGUAGAUGCAUUCAAAAUAUGUUUUAGGAGUGACAACAAUAGCACUUAUGUAUUGAUUGAAUUUGGAAAGGUAACUCCUAGAUUUUUAGCUUGAGCAAUUGGAUAGAUGGUGCCACUGGGAAAACAGUGGUGCCACUGACGUAGCAUGUAGAGUGUGAAAUGCCAGUGUAGACAUGACCAAAAAGCAGUUGGAUUUAAGUCUAAAGUUCAGUUCUGAUCUCCUGGCUGGAGAUCAGAUUUGGGAGUUCAUUGGCCUAGAGAUGCUAUUAAAAGGUCUGGAAUAUGGUCACAUAAGAAGAGUGUUGAUAGAGAGCCUAGACAGACCCCUUAGGCUCCAACAUUAGAGAUCAAUGUAAGAAGAGAAGCCAGCGAAAAAGAUGGAAAAGGAUGGGCCUCAAGGGAGGAAAACCUGGAGAGUGGCAUGAGAACCAAAUGAAGAAGGAAGCUCAAAUGUGUCAAGUGGUGAUAAGAAUUCAAGUAAGUUGAGAAUAGCAGAGACCCUUGGAUUGGACAAGCGCAGCCCAGUGGAGUGGUGGGAACAAAAGUAAGUUUAGUUUGAACUGAGCAGAGAAUAUGAGGUCUAACUAAAAGUUUGUCAAUUUUCUUGAUUUUUCAAAUAACUGACUUUUUGUUUUUUUUUAAUUCUCUAUUUUAUUUAUCUCCACUCUGAUCUUCAUUGUUUCCUUCCCCUUUUUUUUCUCCUUUUCUCCCCAAAGCCCCCCGGUACAUAGUUGUAUAUCCUCGUUGUAGGUCCUUCUAGUUCUGCUACAUGGGACGCCACCUCAGCAUGGCUUGAUGAGUGGUUCUAGGUCCGUGCUCAGGAUCUGAAAUGAUGAAACCCUGGGCUGCUGAAGCGGAGCAUGCAAACUUAACUGCUUGGCCAUGGGGCCAGCCCCUUUCGUUUUUUUUAAUGUAGUCAGUUAUAGCUCUGAGUUUCCAUCUGAGCACUGCUUUGACUGCAUCCCAUAGGUUUUGGUAUCUUGUGUUUGUGUUUUCAUUCAUCUCAAAGUAUCUUCUAAUUUGCCUUGUGAUUGUUUUUUUCACCCAUUAGUUGUUUAAGAGCGUGUUGUUUAGUUUCCACAUAUUUGUGGAUUUUUAAAAUUUCCUUCUGUUAUUGAUUUAUAAUUUCAUUCCGUUGUACUUGGAGAACAUAUUUUGUAUGAUUUUCAUCUUUUAAAAUUUAUCAAGACUUGCUUUAUGGCCUAAAUCCUGGAGAACGUUCUUUGUGCGCUGGAGAAGAAUGUGUGUUCUGUUGUUGGAUGGAGUGUUCUAUAGAUGUUUCUAGGUCCAGUUGGUUUGUAGUGUUGUCUUCGAUUUCCUUGUUGAUCUUCUGUCUAGUUGUUUUAUCCAUUAUUGAAUGUGGAGUAUUGAAUUCUCCAUCUAUUAUUGUUGAACUUUUCCUUCAUUUAUUUGGGUGCCCUGUUGUAGAUCUGUAUGUGUUUAUAAUUGUUGUGUCUUCUUGAUGGAUUCACCGUUGACAUUACAGUGAAUGUCCUUUUUUGUCUGAAAGUCUGUUUUGUCUGAUACCAGUGUAUCCACUCCAGCCCUCUUCUGGUUAUUACUUAGAUGGCAUAUCAUUUCCAUCCUUUUAUUUUCAACUUUUUUUUGUCUUUGAACCUAAAAUCUGUCUUGUAUAGACAGUAUAUAGUGGAUUAUGUUUUUAAAUCUGUCCUGCCAGUCUCUGCCUUUUAACUGAAGAUUUUAAUCCAUUACAUUAAAUGUAGUUACUGAUCAGGACUUACUUCUGUCAUUUUGCUAUUGGGUACUAACAUGCAACUAGAAGAUGAGUAAGUUCUGGAGAUCUCAUGCACAGCAUAGUGAAUAUAGUCAACAAUACUGUAUUAUGUACUUCAAAACUGACUUCUAUAUUUCUUAUAUCGCUUUUGAUCCUCACUCUUACAUUACUGCCUUCUUUUGUGUUAAAUAGAUAUUUUCUAGUAUACCAUUUUAAUUCUUUGGUCGCUUCUUUUACGAUAUAUUCUUGAGUCAUUUUCCUAGUGGUUUCUCUGCGGAUUUUAAUUAACAUCUUAAUUUAUAACAGUCUAGUUCUAAUUAAUACUACCUUAGUUUUAAUAGGGUACAAACUUUGCUUCGAUAUAACUCUGUUCUCCCCCGGCUUUAUGUUGUUGUCACAAAUUACAUCUUUAUACAUGUGUGCCCAUCAACAUGGAUUUAUAAUUAUUGCUUUAUGCAGUUGUCUUUUACAUCAGAUAGGAAAACAAGGAAUUACAGACAACAAAUACAUUUAUAGUUUGUAAAAAUAUUUACAUAUUGUAUUAGUUUCUUAGGGCUGCGAGGUACCUAAGGUUAAAUGAAGUCAUGACGGUGGGGCUCUAAUCCGACGGGAUUAAUGUCCUUAGAAGAAAGAGACAUCAGAG